rnacentral:rRNA from 1 species
GGGGAAUAUUGGGCAAUGGACGCAAGUCUGACCCAGCAACGCCGCGUGAAGGAAGAAGGCUUUCGGGUUGUAAACUUCUUUUGUCAGGGAAGAGCAGAAGACGGUACCUGACGAAUAAGCCACGGCUAACUACGUGCCAGCAGCCGCGGUAAUACGUAGGUGGCAAGCGUUGUCCGGAUUUACUGGGUGUAAAGGGCGUGUAGCCGGGGAGACAAGUCAGAUGUGAAAUCUGGAGGCUCAACCUCCAAACUGCAUUUGAAACUGUUUCUCUUGAGUAUCGGAGAGGUAAUCGGAAUUCCUAGUGUAGCGGUGAAAUGCGUAGAUAUUAGGAAGAACACCAGUGGCGAAGGCGGAUUACUGGACGACAACUGACGGUGAGGCGCGAAAGCGUGGGGAGCAAACAGGAUUAGAUACCCUGGUAGUCCACGCUGUAAACGAUCAAUACUAGGUGUGCGGGGACUGACCCCCUGCGUGCCGCAGUUAACACAAUAAGUAUUGCACCUGGGGAGUACGAUCGCAAGGUUGAAACUCAAAGGAAUUGACGGGGGCCCGCACAAGCAGUGGAGUAUGUGGUUUAAUUCGACGCAACGCGAAGAACCUUACCAAGUCUUGACAUCCCUUGACGAUGCUGGAAACAGCAUUUCUCUUCGGAGCAAGGAGACAGGUGGUGCAUGGUUGUCGUCAGCUCGUGUCGUGAGAUGUUGGGUUAAGUCCCGCAACGAGCACAACCCUUAUGGUCAGUUACUACGCAAGAGGACUCUGGCCAGACUGCCGUUGACAAAACGGAGGAAGGUGGGGAUGACGUCAAAUCAUCAUGCCCUUUAUGACUUGGGCUACACACGUACUACAAGGGCGUUAAACAAAGAGAAGCAAGACCGCGAGGGGGAGCAAAACUCAGAAACAACGUCCCAGUUCGGACUGCAGGCUGCAACUCGCCUGCACGAAGUCGGAAUUGCUAGUAAUCGUGGAUCAGCAUGCCACGGUGAAUACGUUCCCG